rnacentral:rRNA from 1 species
CCUACGUGAGGCAGCAGUGAGGAAUAUUGGUCAAUGGCCGGAAGGCUGAACCAGCCAAGCCGCGUGAAGGACGAAGGUGCCAAGCAUUGUAAACUUCUUUUGUCAAGGGCCAAAAUCAGGCUCUAGAGCCUGACCGAGGGUACUUUAAGAAAAAGCAUCGGCUAACUCCGUGCCAGCAGCCGCGGUACUACGGAGGAUGCGAGCGUUAUCCGGAUUUCUUGGGUGUAAAGGGUGCGUAGGCGGCUUGUUAAGUCCGCGGUAAAAGCCCGGGGCUCAACCCCGGCGAGACGGUGAAACUGGCUGUCUGGAGAUGUCGAGAGGUAUGCGGAAUGCGCAGUGUAGCGGUGAAAUGCUUAGAUAUUGCGCAGAACUCCGAGUGCGAAGGCAGCAUACCGGCGGCGAUCUGACGCUGAGGCACGAAAGCGUGGGUAUCGAACAGGAUUAGAUACCCCUGUAGUC